GAUGAACGCUGGCGGCGUGCCUAAUACAUGCAAGUCGAGCGAACGGACGAGAAGCUUGCUUCUCUGACGUUAGCGGCGGACGGGUGAGUAACACGUGGAUAACCUACCUAUAAGACUGGGAUAACUUCGGGAAACCGUAGCUAAUACCGGAUAAUAUUUUGAACCGCAUGGUUCAAUAGUGAAAGACGGUUUUGCUGUCACUUAUAGAUGGAUCCGCGCUGCAUUAGCUAGUUGGUAAGGUAACGGCUUACCAAGGCAACGAUGCAUAGCCGACCUGAGAGGGUGAACGGCCACACUGGAACUGAGACACGGUCCAGACUCCUACGGGAGGGAAGCGUAGGGAAUUUUCCCGCAAGGGCGGAAGCCUGACCGAGCAACGGCGCGGGAGGUAUGGAGGUCUUCGGAACCGAAAACUCUGUUAUUAGGGAAAGACAUAAGUUGUAGUAACUGAGGCCAUUCUGAAGGUAACUUAUCCGAAAGGCACGGCUUAAUACGUG
rnacentral:rRNA from 1 species